GGAGUUAGCCGGUGCUUCUUCUGUGAGUGAUGUCCUUCCUGCCGGUUAUUGACCCGCAGGCCUUCUUCCUCACUGAAAGUGCUUUACAACCCGAAGGCCUUCUUCACACACGCGGCAUGGCUGGAUCAGGGUUGCCCCCAUUGUCCAAUAUUCCCCACUGCUGCCUCCCGUAGGAGUCUGGGCCGUGUCUCAGUCCCAGUGUGGCUGAUCAUCCUCUCAGACCAGCUACGGAUCGUCGCCUUGGUGAGCCGUUACCUCACCAACCAGCUAAUCCGACAUAGGCUCAUCCGAUAGCGCGAGGCCCGAAGGUCCCCCGCUUUCCCCCGUAGGGCGUAUGCGGUAUUAGCCUGGGUUUCCCCCAGGUUAUCCCCCACUACCGGGCAGAUUCCUAUGCAUUACUCACCCGUCCGCCGCUCGCCACCAGGGAGCAAGCUCCCCGUGCUGCCGCUCGACUUGCAUGUGUAGCGUCGCCGCCACGCGUCAUCUGAGCGAGAUACAACUACUGA
rnacentral:rRNA from 1 species